UGACGCGUGUCACCCAACGACCAGGUAGUUUGGUAAUCCUACUGUCACCUCCAUGGAAACAUUUUUGAGUGUACAUCUUUCACAUUGUGAGUCAUCCACUCGAAAUCUUCGUGUUGCUGAAAAGCAGGAUUAAGUAUAAUCUAAUGAGACACAUAACGAGGCGGUCGCCCAUUCUCACGGAACAAAGAAAAACGCGCCAAACGUUUCCCAAACGCAGCUUCCAUCUUGAGCAAGCCGAAGACCGACGGGGGACUCUUCUCACAAUAUUGACUUUUGACCGUACAUCCUCCCUCUGCAUCCCAGCUGCAUCCUGCAUCCGUCGGGCGAACCAGAGCAACUGGUUUUUUGUCAUGCAUGGCGGAAUAACGAAAUCUCCAUCCCGCAGCUCGGACGCUGACUUUUGCGACGAUUAUUCUGUCAAAUGUCCCACCGCAAUUAACGCCUGUUUUUUCAAAGACACUCGUUGCUCUGAUAUUUAAAAAAAAAAACUGCAUGCUUUAAAAUGUAAAAUAUUCAUCUGAGCAAAGAGAAAAAUCCCGAUAAAAUGAGGAAUCAG